rnacentral:rRNA from 1 species
GACAGAGGUGCCGAGCGUUAGGCGGAAUCACUGGGCUUAAAGCGUGUGUAGGCGGAUUUGUAAGUACCUUGUGAAAAUCCCCACGGCUCAACCGUGGAAACUGCUUGGUAUACUGCUUAUCUUGAGCCACUUAGGGGCAGUCGGAACAGACGGGUGGGAGCGGUGAAAAUGCGUAGAUAUCGUCUGGGAACGCCAAAGGUGAAACAGAACUGCUGGGAGUGUGCUGACGCUGAGACACGAAGGCCAGGGAGCAAACGGG